rnacentral:rRNA from 1 species
GACGAACGCUGGCGGCGUGCUUAACACAUGCAAGUCGAACGGAAAGGCCCUGCUUUUGUGGGGUGCUCGAGUGGCGAACGGGUGAGUAACACGUGAGUAACCUGCCCUUGACUUUGGGAUAACUUCAGGAAACUGGGGCUAAUACCGGAUAGGAGCUCCUGCUGCAUGGUGGGGGUUGGAAAGUUUCGGCGGUUGGGGAUGGACUCGCGGCUUAUCAGCUUGUUGGUGGGGUAGUGGCUUACCAAGGCUUUGACGGGUAGCCGGCCUGAGAGGGUGACCGGCCACAUUGGGACUGCGGUACGGCCCAGUCUCCUACGGGAGGCAACAGUGGGAAAUAUUGCACAAUGGGCGCAAGCCUGAUGCAGCAACGCCGCGUGCGGGAUGACGGCCUUCUGGUUGUAAACCGCUUUCGCCUGUGACGAAGCGUUAGUGACGGUAAUGGGUAAAGAAGCACCGGCUAACUACGUG